UGGAGAGUUUCACAUGCCAUGCUAAGA
rnacentral:piRNA from 1 species